UCAAGUGUCAAAUCUAGGUUUUUUCAUCCCGGAGUUGUCGGAUGACCUAAAAACCGAUUUAGAAUAUCCCUACUCUUUUUAAACUGGCUAUUACCGUGCGUUAUCUCUCACAGCUAAUGAUGAGUUCAUCGAAAAACCGGAGAUCUAUCGUUACGAAGUUGAGAAUUUUGUCUGAUGUCAUUGUGCUAUAUCACCAUCCCCGCCAUCAAAUUACUCUUGAAUUUUUUGGUGCGUUACCACACAGAUCGUUAGAAAAAUUGGGCCAAAUGAGACAAUCAUCAAUGAUCACAGGAAAGGGGGGGAGACAGGUAGCCUACUUUUUCAGUGGUGUUAUCACUUCUACAGUCUGUGGAGAGGGGACUUCAUUAUUAGUAUGCAUAAGCGCCGAUGAAAGCAGAAUUUCUAUAGUAGUUAAAUGGAAUUUCAUCUUGAAUGAAAACGCAAAACUGCAGUUUUUUAGUCAUUAAAGGAGCCUAUUUACAGGAAUAAAGGUCAGUCUAGAAUAUUAGAUGUUUAAUAAAUUUUUAUUUUUCAAUGAAAAAUCACACAGUGUUUACUUAUUCUUUUUCUUUUGC